UCAAGUUAUUAAGGGUGCAGGGCGGAUGCCUUGGCACUAGGAGCCGAUGAAGGACGUGAUAAGCUGCGAUAAGCUUCGGGGAGUUGCACGUAAACUUUGAUCCGAAGAUUUCCGAAUGAGGAAACUCACUUAGAGUAAUGUCUAAGUAUCAUUAAGUGAAUACAUAGCUUAAUGAGGGGAACUCAGGGAACUGAAACAUCUAAGUACCUGAAGGAAGAGAAAGAAAUUCGAUUCCGUAAGUAGCGGCGAGCGAACGCGGAUUAGCCCAAACCAAUAAAGUUUUCUUUAUUGGGGUUGCGGACAUAUCAUAACGAAGAGGUAUCGUAAUUGAAGAGGUUUGGAAAGACCCACCACAGAAGGUAAUAGUCCUGUAUGUUAAACGAGAAGACUUUAGAUAUGAUCCAGAGUACCACGGGACACGUGAAACCCUGUGGGAAGCAGGAGGGACCACCCUCCAAGGCUAAAUACUACCUAGUGACCGAUAGCGUAUAGUACCGUGAGGGAAAGGUGAAAAGAACCCCGGGAGGGGAGUGAAAUAGAACCUGAAACCCUGCACUUACAAGCUGUGGAAGCACAUUUCUUGUGUGACCGCGUACUUUUUGUAGAACGGGCCAACGAGUUACGUUAAGUAGCAAGGUUAAGCACUUAAGGUGUGGAGCCGUAGCGAAAGCGAGUUUUAACUGAGCGUUCAGUUACUUGACGUAGACCCGAAACCGGGCGACCUACCCAUGAGCAGGAUGAAGCGAAAGUAAAAUUUCGUGGAGGUCCGAACCCACGAGCGUUGAAAAGCUCGGGGAUGACUUGUGGGUAGCGGUGAAAUUCCAAUCGAGCCCGGAGAUAGCUGGUUCUCCCCGAAAUAGCUUUAGGGCUAGCCUCAAGGUGAGAGAUACGGAGGUAGAGCACUGAAUGUCCUAGGGGGUAUUGCACCUACCGAAGACUAUCAAACUCCGAAUGCCGUCAUCUUAUACUUGGGAGUCAGACUGUGGGUGAUAAGAUUCAUAGUCGAAAGGGCAAACAGCCCAGAUCGUCAGCUAAGGUCCCUAAAUGUAAGUUAAGUGGUAAAGGAUGUGGGAUUGCACAGACAACCAGGAUGUUGGCUUAGAAGCAGCCACUCAUUCAAAGAGUGCGUAAUAGCUCACUGGUCGAGUGAUCCUGCGCCGAAGAUUUCCGGGGCUAAAACUUACUACCGAAGCUACGGCAUCAGUAAUGAUGGGUAGGGGAGCUUCCCAUACGGGUUGAAGCAUGACCGUAAGGACAUGUGGACAGUAUGGGAGUGAGAAUGUUGGCAUGAGUAGCGAGAUGUGGGUGAGAAUCCCACAGGCCGUAAACCCAAGGUUUCCAGGGGAAGGUUCGUCCGCCCUGGGUUAGUCGGGACCUAAGCUGAGGCCGAAAGGCGUAGGUGAUGGACAACAGGUUUGAUAUUCCUGUACUACCGAUAACCGUUUGAGAGAAGGGAUGACACAGUAGGAUAAGCUAAGCACACUGUUGGUUAUGUGUGCCCAAGCAUUGAGGCAGUCAAAGUAGGCAAAUCCGCUUUGAUAAUGCUGGGAUGUGAUGGGGAGCGAAAUUUAGUAGCGAAGUAGCUGAUUUCACACUGUCAAGAAAGUCUCUAUCGAGGUUAAAGGUACCCGUACCGCAAACCGACACAGGUGGGUGAGGAGAGUAUCCUAAGGCCAGCGAGAGAACUGUUGUUAAGGAAACUCGGCAAAAUGACCCCGUAACUUAGGGAUAAGGGGUGCCACCAUCAGGUGGCCGCAGAGAAUAGGCCCAAGCGACUGUUUACCAAAAACAUAGGUUUCUGCUAAGUCGCAAGACGAUGUAUAGGAGCUGACGCCUGCCCGGUGCUGGAAGGUUAAGGGGAUCUGUUAGAGCAAUCGAAGCAGUGAACUUAAGCCCCAGUAAACGGCGGCCGUAACUAUAACGGUCCUAAGGUAGCGAAAUUCCUUGUCGGGUAAGUUCCGACCCGCACGAAAGGCGUAACGAUUUGGGCACUGUCUCAACAACAGACUCGGUGAAAUUGUAAUUCCGGUGAAGAUGCCGGAUACCUGCGACAGGACGGAAAGACCCCAUGGAGCUUUACUGUAGCUUGACAUUGGGUCUUGGUACUACAUGUACAGGAUAGGUGGGAGGCUUUGAAACCAGGACGCCAGUUUUGGCGGAGCCAUCCUUGGGAUACCACCCUUGUAGUACUGGGACUCUAACCAUAGGCCAUGAAUCUGGUCUUGGGACACUGUCAGGUGGGCAGUUUGACUGGGGCGGUCGCCUCCCAAAAGGUAACGGAGGCGCUCAAAGGUUCUCU
rnacentral:rRNA from 1 species